rnacentral:siRNA from 1 species
GAGAAGGGUGAUGAAGCCAAGCCA